AACGAACGCUGGCGGCAUGCCUAACACAUGCAAGUCGAACGAGACCUUCGGGUCUAGUGGCGCACGGGUGCGUAACGCGUGGGAACCUGCCCUUAGGUUCGGAAUAACUCCCCGAAAGGGGUGCUAAUACCGGAUAAUGUCUUCGGACCAAAGAUUUAUCGCCUUUGGAUGGGCCCGCGUUGGAUUAGCUAGUUGGUAGGGUAAAAGCCUACCAAGGCGACGAUCCAUAGCUGGUCUGAGAGGAUGAUCAGCCACACUGGGACUGAGACACGGCCCAGACUCCUACGGGAGGCAGCAGUGGGGAAUAUUGGACAAUGGGCGAAAGCCUGAUACAGCAAUGCCGCGUGAGUGAUGAAGGCCUUAGGGUUGUAAAGCUCUUUUACCCGGGAUGAUCAUGACAGUACCGGGAGAAUAAGCUCCGGCUAACUCCGUG
rnacentral:rRNA from 1 species